CUCCUCAGACGAGCCCUCAGUCCUCUCAUCAACCACAACGAUGAGUUGCUGGAAACCUUCAUGCUGUGUGCUUUUAGAAGAUAUGUUUUUCUUUUUCCAAGAAUACAAAUCCUGAAUCAGAUAGCUAAAAUCACUGAAGAAGGUGCAACAGUCUCUCAGCCCUACUCUUUGAAGACAUUCUGGGGUUUCUCUGCUUUCGAGAAUCCAACAUUGGGUGCUCAAGGCUCAUGGUAGACAGCCAACUCGCAGCUAAUGUUUGACAAGAGAACGAGAUUAUGCGUGUGCGUGGGCAUGUAAGGAAGAAGAGAUUGAUCGUUUUACAGCAAGGCAGUGUGCUAAAUGAGCUAAAUUGAACCACUUUCCCUGAAUAUUGCACAUUCAAGAAAAAUUGUAAACCUUGAAAGACGAAAGAGAUUCACAGAACUUCACUUCCAGAGUUGCUCAGAAAAUAAACGACUUAACCUGAAUACUGCACACAAAUUGGUACAAAUCCCUAAAGCUAAAAAGCAGCAUCACUUCUCAUCAAUGGUAACAAAUCCCUAAAGCAGCAAAUGUGUUUCGUGACGAGUAUACGUAGACUAAUCAUACACAAUCACAAGACUGAAAAUACUCAGCUACAACACCUCCAAUAAAGCGUUCGCUAUGAAAAUUGUAUUGCGCACAAUGAAAACACACGAAAAACACUCAACACACGACAGUAUUAGUAUGGUAUAACAAUCCAGGAAGACACAUGCCAACAGUAAUCACUUCCCUUGACGAGAGGCGAGCAAGUCUAGAAAAAACACUCAGGAAGAAAAGGGGCUUAAAUUAUAAAAGCUUAUACCAACUUCUGACCUCAGUUUGUUCCUUACAAAUCAGUCGAAACACAAAUUGUUCCCUUCUCUUUACAAGUACCGGGCAUUGUCAAUUUAUAAGAGUUACUCAGCAAUUGGGAUAAUUGCUUCUUUUCUUUUGUCUUCGUUGUCCUUCGAACAGGAAAGCCAAUUACUCUAAUUUCUUGACAAAUGACGGAAGACAGUGCAUGGUUAUUACACUUUAUCGUCAUGGAACCACCACCUCGUUUCCUUGGGAGAUCUGCCAUUUCUACAAUUCUUUACAUACCGGUCAUUAUCUUCCGGACGUUGCU